AAGGUAUUCAAAUUUUUCACUAAAACAUAUUCUAAAAUAUACCCAUGCAAAAAGAAAGGUACAUGUUUUAUAAACACACAAUUAAGAUCUUAACAUUUAAACAUAUGAUAAGUAACCAAUAAAGGUAAGAAGCAGAAAAAAAGGACAACCAUAUAAAUCACAAGUGGUAGAAAAUCAGACCAUGACAAAAUAUAGAAAAACGAAUUUAAAACAUUCUACAAAACAUUACUUAGAAGACAAUAGAACGACAGAUAUCAACCCAACCAAAACAGGGGUGAUCUCAGGUGAUCUUGAAUACAUAUAAAACAGACUUUACAAAUUUAUUCAUUCAUGCUUUGAUUAGAAAAUAUGAGGUGAAUUCAUUGAAAUAUCUAGUCUAACAAUGACAAUGCUAAUUAGGAAACUAAUGUUUAUGUUUGUGAUUACUGUUUAAAGUCAUUAAAUUUUUAUAUCAUAUUCAUAGCAGGAAUGAAAUAAUUGCAUAACCAAUACACAUGUUUUAAUCAUGCAUUUAAUGAUCGUUAGGAGGGUCUAUUGUUUUAACGUUGUACAAUUUCUUUAUGGCUUGGAUGAAUUAAUCUAUAAUACAAUAGCUGGAUAAUAAUCUGAAUGACCAUGAGCGAAGUGACAGUACCGAUAGCAGCAAGAUAAAACCAUUCACUUUUAUGUUGUGUAAAAUAUGCCCACAGUAUCAACAUGAUGAUGUUUUCAGAAAAUGUUACAAAGUAAUAAAACAUGGCUCUGUAUCUUGUUUGUACCUUCCUUGUACAUUUUGGAAACAAAAUAUCAAAACGUAUCCGAAAACAAUGUUAAAUAUCCAUUUAUCUCUAGAAUUUUUAUUCAUCAUUUCCUGCUUUUGACAUCCUAACCAAAUUGUCAUAGCAAUCCAAUGAAUACCUAUAGCUAUUAGCAUUUGAAUACGAACUGAGCUGCAAAUAAUGCUAACACUAUCGUUCUAGGUGCAACUUCACAAGCUCUCCAUAUAUAGUAGAAAAUCACACCACAGGAAGAUAGGCCCUGUUCCUUGAUAUUAUGCGAGGCUCUGAGGGCUUUAUGAUAGGAUACCAACGUCCAGGAGACUCCGACCCAAGAUCCAAACAUGGCUGCUACUCGAACAAUUUCUACAAAAUAUGAUGAAAACA
rnacentral:lncRNA from 1 species